GACGAACGCUGGCGGCGUGCUUAACACAUGCAAGUCGAACGGUAAGGCCCUUCGGGGUACACGAGUGGCGAACGGGUGAGUAACACGUGGGUAAUCUGCCCUGCACAUCGGGAUAAGCCUGGGAAACUGGGUCUAAUACCGAAUAGGACCACAGGACACAUGUCCUGUGGUGGAAAGCUUUUGCGGUGUGGGAUGGGCCCGCGGCCUAUCAGCUUGUUGGUGGGGUGAUGGCCUACCAAGGCGACGACGGGUAGCCGGCCUGAGAGGGUGUCCGGCCACACUGGGACUGAGAUACGGCCCAGACUCCGACGGGAGGCAGCAGUGGGGAAUAUUGCACAAUGGGCGAAAGCCUGAUGCAGCGACGCCGCGUGGGGGAUGACGGCCGUCGGGUUGUAAACCUCUUUCACCAUCGACGAAGGUCCGGGUUUUCUCGGGCUGACGGUAGGUGGAGAAGAAGCACCGGCCAACUACGUG
rnacentral:rRNA from 1 species